CACGUAAGGAGCGAGCGUUGUUCGGAAUUAUUGGGCGUAAAGGGCAUGUAGGCGGUUAUAUAAGUCCGAUGUGAAAUACCACAGCUUAACUGUGGAAACGCAUUGGAAACUGUGUGACUUGAAUCAGUGAGGGGUAACCGGAAUUUCUAGUGUAGGGGUGAAAUCUGUUGAUAUUAGAAAGAACACCGAUGGCGAAGGCAGGUUACUGGCACAUGAUUGACGCUGAGAUGCGAAAGCGUAGGGAGCGAAC
rnacentral:rRNA from 1 species